rnacentral:tRNA from 1 species
GUGGGUGUAGCUCAGUCCGGUUAGAGCACUUGGUUGUGGCCCAAGAGGUCGCCGGUUCAAAUCCGGUCAUCCACCCCA